rnacentral:rRNA from 1 species
CCUACGGGAGGCAGCAGUGGGGGAUAUUGCACAAUGGGGGAAACCCUGAUGCAGCGACGCCGCGUGGGUGAAGAAGCGCCUCGGCGCGUAAAGCCCUGUCAGCAGGGAAGAAAAUGACGGUACCGGAAGAAGAAGCCCCGGCUAACUACGUGCCAGCAGCCGCGGUAAUACGUAGGGGGCAAGCGUUAUCCGGAUUUACUGGGUGUAAAGGGAGCGUAGACGGCAGUGCAAGUUCGGAGUGAAAGCCCGGGGCUCAACCCUGGGACUGCUCUGGAAACUGCAAAGCUGGAGUGCGGGAGGGACAGGCGGAAUUCCUGGUGUAGCGGUGAAAUGCGUAGAUAUCAGGAGGAACACCGGUGGCGAAGGCGGCUUACUGGACAGUGACUGACGUUGAGGCUCGAAAGCGUGGGGAGCGAACAGGAUUAGAUACCCUAGUAGUC